UGCUCCUGGAUUCAGCGGCGGACGGGUGAGUAAUGCCUAGGAAUCUGCCUGGUAGUGGGGGAUAACGUCCGGAAACGGGCGCUAAUACCGCAUACGUCCGGAGGGAGAAAGUGGGGGAUCUUCGGACCUCACGCUAUCAGAUGAGCCUAGGUCGGAUUAGCUAGUUGGUGGGGUAAAGGCCUACCAAGGCGACGAUCCGUAACUGGUCUGAGAGGAUGAUCAGUCACACUGGAACUGAGACACGGUCCAGACUCCUACGGGAGGCAGCAGUGGGGAAUAUUGGACAAUGGGCGAAAGCCUGAUCCAGCCAUGCCGCGUGUGUGAAGAAGGUCUUCGGAUUGUAAAGCACUUUAAGUUGGGAGGAAGGGCAGUAAGUUAAUACCUUGCUGUUUUGACGUUACCAACAGAAUAAGCACCGGCUAACUUCGUGCCAGCAGCCGCGGUAAUACGAAGGGUGCAAGCGUUAAUCGGAAUUACUGGGCGUAAAGCGCGCGUAGGUGGUUCAGCAAGUUGGAUGUGAAAUCCCCGGGCUCAACCUGGGAACUGCAUCCAAAACUACUGAGCUAGAGUACGGUAGAGGGUGGUGGAAUUUCCUGUGUAGCGGUGAAAUGCGUAGAUAUAGGAAGGAACACCAGUGG
rnacentral:rRNA from 1 species